UUUUUUUUUUUUUUUUUUUUUUUUUUUUUUAUUUAAUUUUUUGGCUGCUGACUCUGUUGCUUGGUCUGAGUUGUUAAAACAAAAAAAAAAGACAAAAAAUAAACAGUCUUAACAAAUGAAUGAACAAAAUUCCACAAUCUCGAUAUCAGAUUACAAUAAUAUAGGGGCAACAGGAACAGGGUUCAAAAUGGUGUGCCUAGGAAUCUGCAUCUCGCGUCUGUGAAGCAGCAAUAAAGAGAGCCCCAGCUCCUGAACCUCCGUGAGAAUGCUCUAUAAUCACAUUGUCAGAAAGGUCACUCCCCAGCAUCUCCCAAACACUGCUAUGCAGAUAGUUUCUAAAGAUGCGAUAAUGCUCAUACAGUCCACCUUCAACCGUAAUUACACUCUUCUUGUUAGCAAUUCUUCCGAGUUUUUUGACAAUCCCCAUUAUUCCAGCUCCCACAAGACGAGCUCCGCGCUCUGCAACUAUGUCACAGACCUCUGCAACGAUUUCUCUCACCACUGGUGUAGUGUUGGAUAUCUGGGAUAGAUUGGUGGUGCGUUACUAAGAGCCACUGUGCUUGUGCAGACCAGCAGUUUUGUGUAAUCAGUUUUAACCAGUUUGGAUGACAUGAUAAGCACCAAUUGCUUGUGGACUGAUGGGCAGAAGUUGAAAGAUACAACGACUAGUACUAUUAUGCAUAUGACAUGGUAACUAAAUUCGCAAUCGCCAACAAGUUUUAAGCUUCCUUUUUCUUUUUUUUUUUUUGGGGUUAGUCACAGACAAAAUACUCUAUUUUGGAAUGACAAAGUGUGCUUCUGAAUUUUGAUUAUGUCCGGAAAAAGUGUUGUCAGUGGUCAUAAAAAGAGAGUUAGCAAAUUUCUACAUGAGAAGAUGGUUAAAGUUACCUCGAAUAUUUCCUUCAGUUUUUCAUCAACCAUUUCAUAAUCCUCUGAUGUGUCCUGGUGCAUAAUAGCCACAUCAUGUGACCUGUCAAAGCACAAGACUUAUGAUAGAAUAUAUCUCAUACUUCCUAAUUCCAUGAACGAGUGCAUAGAAUGGCUUGUAGUCUAAUAAUCAAAUGGUCUAUCGUGAACUGUCUUCCUUUCCACCCAAAAAAAAAGAAAAGAAAAGAAAAAUAUAUUGAUUCUCCUACUACAUUCCUUCAAUUCAUAAUCCCACCUUUGCAUCAAUUUCGAUUGCUUCAAAGAAUUAUGACAUCAAAGGGAAAAAAAUUUGAUCCUGCUCAACGUCAAAGUUUAAGCGUAGUUUCUUUCCUGAACUGUACGGAUAAAUUUACAAAACCAUUAAUGUCAUACCAGCUCCAAGUGUCUGGUUUUCUGCUUAAUUGACAUGAAGGAAUGCAUCUCAGUUCUGGAAUUGCUACCGAACUUAUAUAAUGUCACAAAAUAUUGACUUCCAUUUACCUCAACAAGUAUGGGAUGGUGAGCUUGAUUGGGAGGUUAUCUCCAAAUAAAGCUGCUUCUUGCGCCAUCUUCAGUAGGACUUUUCUAACAAUCUCUCCUAAAUACAUCCCUGAAAUAAGCUUUUCAAAUAUCUGAGACAAAACAAAACAGGAUUCAGGAAGGGAUUCGUAUGACUUAGAAUGCGAAUUCAGACACCUGAUAUCCAAGUUCCCUACCCCGCUACCAGGAUUUGUGCUUUCAGAAUCUAAGGAAGCAUCAAACUCUGUCAUUGGAAGGUGAAUGGAACUAAAAUUUCCCCAAUUCACACUAAUAGCCUGCAGAGUUAUAAUAAGCACGUCAACAACUUACAGGAUAUGAUGCCUAUAUAAUCUGAAUAUGUGCUUAUACAACAUAUGACAGCACAACCAUUUCUCCAGAGUUGGAUAAUUGGCCCUGCAACUUUUGAACUUCUUGUACUGAUUCCAUAUAAGCAGCAUUAACGGCCAUCCCUAAACUAAGUGCAGCGACACUUUCUCUACUGUAGUACCUUGCCCCAGCCAAACAGCCAAUGACUUCAUCCACCUGGGAAAUCGCCAAGCUAUUUGAGUCAAUUCCUAGCUUGGAGACGCUAUACUCUCGUCAAACUUGGGGUUUACUUGCACAAAAAUUACAGAAUCCCAGUUACAACUAACCACCAAAUUGAGGAUCUUACCAUAGCAGAAACUUGCAUUUCCACGCCAUGCUUCAGCAAAGCCUCAUUAAUUUCAGUCAUCAUCUGUGUCCUGACCUGAUGAAUUUGUUCUGAACAAGAUUACUACACAAUGGAGUCUGAGGAAUCUACAAAAAUUCAUGAAAUCCUUUCAUGGGAAUCAAAUUGUGGCAAUCCUUACACUCCUCUGCAAAUCAUGUAUAAAUAAGUGAAAUCAUGGAAGCCAUUUCAGUGGAACCUCAAUAAUUAGAUUAAGGAUCUAGAUCCUCUUAUCACUCGCAGACUCUGAAAGGUAAGCUCUUACAUCAAUGUGUCAUUUUCACUGUAAAUUUUGAAUACUACACAGUAGUUUCUUUUUUGGCGAGCCAUAAUUUCUAAAUUAGUUCUAUUGCAAUAAAGCAGGUUUUCUAGGAAGGUAAAUUUACAAGAUUUUCAUGGCGACUUUCACUGAUAGUUCCCAACAUAUGCAACAUGUUAACCGGGAAAGCUUCAAAUCAAGGAGCAGACUUAACUGUGUCAUCUGUUAACCUCCUCCAAUCGAUGCCUCUGCACGAGGAGGCUGCAGCUUGGUCAACCGGAGGUGAUAUUGUAAAUCCUAGUUUAAGCUUCUCUAGUUUUGUCUUUCCUGUAAGGUCUUCAUGAAGAGAAACAAAUUUUGAAAGCUCCAAGGCAAUUAGAUCAAAUAAUUCCUGCAUGAACAAGUGGACUUGAGUAGAGAUUAGCUGACGAAAAACAUUCGACAAAACCUUGCCUGCUGCCUUUAUGGAAGAUUCAUUCUAUUAAGUUGAAAUAUUAUCCCUUAAAUAUUUCUUCCACACAAUUAAACAAUGGAAAGCGAAUGACUUUUGACUUUUGUACUACUCCUCCCUCAAGCAAUAUUCGAGAAAAUCAACAAACAUAGGCCUUUUGAGUUGUUUAAUUUGAAAUUGAAGACGACAGGCAUUUGGGUAAGACCGUAUUUAUUUAUUGCUACUAAUCACUGCCACCAUUUUCUUUUUCACUUUAUGUUCUAGAGUUGCCAUGUCCACAACCUGAGGUUUAAGUACUCACAUAUUUGAGAAAUGAAAACAACUGCUAGUACUUACCUUGGAAUCGGCAGAAAUUACACGGGAAGGAAUUUGAACCUCCUCCCUCUGGAAUUCAGAUAAAAUUUCAUUCUUCCCUCCAAGCUGCGCUCUUAGAAUCAAGAAAUUAUCACCGCGAAGGUUUAUUCCAUAGUAUACCCCCUUCUCAUCACUGCCACAAUAUACGUGUAUAUAUAUAUAUAUAUAUAUAUAUAUAUAUAUAUAUGUAAUUUACACAAUGGUGUGACUAUUUACUAUUGCGUCUAAAAUCAAAUUUUUGGAAACAAAGGAGAUUGAUCAUUUGGAGCAGUGUAAAUUACCCGGUGGGAAGUGAACCGGAGUAGAAAGGAAACAUGCCAAGUUUGGAUUGUUCAGAAAUAAGGCCGGUUUGCAUGUCAACCGCCAAGUCAUUAGCCACAAGCCAAAGUUUGGUGACUGGAGUAGCACUCUCCCUCGCAAACUUUCGCAAAAUGCGCUUUGCAUGCCUCCAACUUCGCUCGUUUUGGCGCUUCCAGUGCCUCACUAACACCAUCGCAGCGACAGCAGCAGCUGCAGUUGUUACAGUUACUGCCGCCACCACCACCUCCUUCCUCAUCUUUUCUAUUCCGGAAUUGUGAAAUGUUUGGUGCGAGUCUCUAAUGGGAAAACUUGCUGUGGAUUGGAGGUUGGAAAGUGGUACCAGAAUAGCAACGUUUAGGGAUUGUGACGUUUGGUCCGAGUCUUCAAUGGAAAAACUUGAGUGAUUGGAAAGUACUACUACUACCAGAAUAGCAACGUUUGCGCAGGGAUUGAACGAGUAUGACGGCUUGAGAUCACAUAUGCUGUUCUGGUGAGAUCACCAAAGUUAGCGUUCAACUGAGGGCAGCUCCAAUGGAGCCAUUACACCCCUCCAUGACACGGCUCCCCAUUGGAGCCGUGUCAUGGAUAUUACACGCAUCACACAGGUGAUGCGUGUAAUCCAUUGAAUUUUCUUCCUAUUUGUAUUUUAUUUGAUUUAACUUAUGUAAUAUUAUGUUAUGGAGUUCAACUAAUUAUAUUCCGAAUUAUUAAUUAAGUAUGGAUUAUUAUGAUAUCUUCGCAUUUGAAGUAUCAAAUAUUUGUUUAAUUUCCUACAUAAUUAUUUUUUAAAAAAUAACAAUAUAUUAUUUUUGAAACAUAGAAAAAGAUAUAUUAUUCAAACUUAAAAAUUAAUAAUAUCAUUUUUAGAAAAUAAAAAAAUUCAAAAUGUACAAAAUUUAACGAAAGUUAGUACUUUAUUUUUUAAAAAUAACAAAAUUAGUUUUAAAAAUUACUUUAUUUAUUUAUGGGAUAUGAGUUAUGCAUUAUUAAAAUAAAUAUUUGAUUAAUUGUGGACCCAUGCUAUUACACCUUGUGGAGUGUAAUCCAUUGUGAGUGAAAGUGUAAUAAAAGAGGAGAAAGUGGAAUGCUGACGUGGCAUGUGGAUUACACUCCACAAAGUGUAAUAGCAUUGUGGAUGCUCUGAUGGAGCAAGUCUUGGGAAAUGACGCAUCAUAUUAUUGAAAAUCUUCUAGAAUAUAUAUCAACUGGUGAAUAGAAUAUACUAUAAGGCUCCGUUUGAUAACACUGAAUCUGAAUUCUGAAUACUGAAAUAAUUAAUUUGCUGAAUUUUAAGCACUGAAAAGAGAUAUAUGAAUAUCUGAAUCUUAAUGCUGAAUCUAUUUAUACUGUUUGAUAAAUAUUCAUAACUUAAUGCUUAAUAAGCUAAAUUGUACAAUUUUGCCCUUCUAUCUUUUAAUCCAAAAAGGAAAUAGAACCUAUGAUUUAAUUAACUUAAAAUUGUUAGGUAUGAAAAUGACAAUGAUUGUGAAGAACAAUGCAUACAAUGACAAUGUUUUUUUGUGUGGGGAAAGGGUAUGGUUUCAUCGUUUUGAGAAUGGGAAAAUGAGCUUUUAAUACUCCAAAAGCACGUUCAAUUACAUUUCUCAAUCUUGCAUGUGCUUGGUUAAAGCGUUCUCCUUUUCAUCUUGGACGAGAAGCAUUUCGAAAAUCAGACAACCAAUAUCUAAUAUUUCGAUAUGGUGUCAUAAAGCCACGUGUGUGUGGAUAAGCUGCAUCACAUAAAUAAUAGUUAUCUGCAAAAAAAUAUAUAUAUAUCAAAAUAUAAAUGUUUGUGGAUGAAAAUUAUUGCAAAAAAAUACUAUUGUUAAAAAAAAAUUUUGAAUAGAGAAUAUCAGGUUGUUUUGUUUAAUUAGAUAAGGAUUUUGAAUAGGGAAUAUUAGGUUGUUUAAUUAGAUAAGGAUUUUGAAUGUAAUUAACAAACAAGGAUAUAUUUGGUAGAUAAAAUAAAGUAGUUGAAGUAAAUCUCUUGAUUCUUAUCAAAUUAAGCAUUCAGCUACGAUUCUUGUGCUGAAAAAAAUACAUACAAAUUCAGCACCACUUAAUAAGUUCAGCGGGUGAAUUUUUAUUUAUCAAACACCCACAACAUCUGAAUGUCUGAAUGAAUUCAGUUUCAGCACUUUUUUAUGUUAUCAAACAGGCACUGAGACAGGCACAACUAAAUUGAAUUAUAGCACUGAAUUAAAUAUUGCACAAAUAUUAUAUACUCCCCCCCCCCCCCUCUCCCUAAAAAAAAAUUGUCCUCAUUUGUAUAUUUGGAAAAAAAGAAAAUUCAUGAGUGUGAGAAAAAAUAAUUGAACAAUUAAGAGAUAGUACUUAAUAUGUCUAUCUGUGCUGAGAACAAAUAUAUACUUUGUGGGAGAGCAUAUGUGUACAAGAGUGUACCAUAUGUGUAAGGGGUGUGAUAUGUACAAGCAAUUCACAAAAUUCAAUAAAAAAUUUUCACUUGAAAUCUUAUCUGCAAAUUAAGAAGUGCUUAAUAUAUUAAGUGCAAAGGAGAUGCCUGCAUUUCAAUGGCAUUCAAGGAUGUCUCUAAUACUACUUUCUCAAAAGGAUUCACUACUGUUACCCACAAUUCUAUACACUACUUGCCGUGUAGAAUCCAAGAGUCCAAGACCAGUUCUUUUCUUUUUAUAUAUAUAUAUUUUAAGUUCAAGUUGAGAGAUUCACAUAACAGAGGUUGCUUACAAAAAUGAUAGCAACAUCCAAAGUUGCAAUCUCAAAUCUCAGUUCAUCAGAGAAAACAUUCGUCAGCAACAUACACAUCUCAAUGUCUAACUUCAUGUACCGACAACCACCAGAGGGUCUAGAUGAUGAAACAAUUCACCCCCCCCCCCAUGUUUUGUUAACACAAGAUGCAUAGUGAACGGGGGAAAUAGAACACUGUCGUUCAGAUGAAUUAACCAUUUUGUCCAUUCAGCUCCCAGAAGAACGACACUUUCCCCUCACACUAAAUUACGUAUGAGCAGAAAACAAACAAUAAGGCUACAAUAGACUAUCUUGAAUAACUACCUGCAUCUACAAAUAAUCAGAGAUCCUUGCCACGAGCAAUCCAUCUUCACCAACUGGGAAGUCAAAUUUCACGACCAGGAGAGAGGACUUGUCAAUGUUACUAAAUCCCCUAUGCUGGUCACAAACUCAGUCCUCCCGAGUCCAGAUUUUGACUGUCUUGUCCUCUCCGAGAGCACCAGAUGCUAUCAUGUUUUCGGUUGGGUGACAUGAUACAGAUACGACAGUAUCAGUAUGACCUUCCAGUUUUUGAACAAUCUUCCUUGACUGAAGCUCCCAUAAGUAGAUAGAAUUAUCCUCUGAACCGCUUACAAUGUACUUGCCAUUUGUCACCGAAAAUGUAGCAGAGAUGCAAUACUUUGAAUUGACAUGGCCUGUGUAGGUUUUCAGAUAUUUUCCAGUUGAGAAGUUCCAAAGCCGCUGCAACCACACCAAAAUGUUUUACAUACAUGCAAAAUGAUCCCCAAAAUUCAAAGCAUCUGCAUAGUAUGAUAACAGUUCAGCAUUUCUUGAACCCAAGCCCCAAAAACUACACCGUUGCACUUAUGUCAGUAUGAAACAGUGGGAACGGGACUCCGCAAAUUACCAGAAACAGCAUAUAGUGUGGCACCAUGCAUUAAAUGGAACUAUACCAUUCUAAUAAAUCUCGGAAAGAAAUUUAUUCCCUGGCAGAAAGUACCCAGAGGUGUUCAAGCCUGUGCCCCUUAGAUGAUAAUAUAUGAUCAAAUGCAGUAAGGCAGUGCACAAAGCUUGCGAUAAAAGAUCAUCAUAUUUGACAACCACAAAAAUCCAACACUCGAGAAAAUGCAACAUUCACCAUGAUGCAGUCUCAUAUCCACAGUCUGAAUUAUGUGUUGUACACACCAAGUGAGAUUUUGGAUUGUUGUAACCAUGCUGACUCUAAAGAGCAGCCAAGGAUAGUAGCCAGCAGCAGGAAAUCAGAAAAGCAGUAUUAGCACAAAGUGAAUGAGAUUGAAUAUGCUAAAAAGUACUAGCACAAAAUGUCUGUGUCUCUACCUCAUAAUCUAUUAAUUAUGAUUGAUCAUAAGAUAAGCACCUCUUAUUUCCUUUGCACUCGUUUUAGUACAUUCAAACAUGUCAAAAAUCAGCCUGCUGCACCACGCCUAAUCAAGAAGUGGGCAUCGGACUAUAUUUAGUAUGUGCCACAAUAUUUAGGUUCAGUAUGUUUUUGACGCUUUUUUUGGCGUCAUGCAUGCCUUGAACUUAAGACUUUAGAAACUCAGCCCUACACAUAUAAUCACAAGGCUUGAAUUUGCUUGUACCACCCUCACUUAUCCAAACUAAGGCAAUGUUAGGUAUUCUACUCCAAGAAGAUUGCAUUGCAAUCUCCCCUGCAUUUUACAUGAAGGAUUUCAUCAAAACACAGACUAGGUCUCUGCUCAGGUUAACAACAGAGCACAAUCAGUUUUAUUACCAUGCUACUACAUUUACAAUGGCCAGCAUUACAAAUUUUCUCGCUUUGCGACUACUAGAAUGAACUUGAAGCCCGUGAUGAACUUCUCAAAUACCUCUUAUAACAACAAGUUCAUCCAUAACAAGUCCGAAGAAAUUAACAAACGCAAUAACAAACAAUUGAAGAACUGAUGCACCAAAAAAAUCGUCACAACAGACUAUUAUGCUCAGAAACUUUAAAAUCCAAUAUUGCACUUAAAGACACCAGCAAUGCAACAUAAGAAAAGAGAGGAAAAAGAAGGAAGGGAAAAAAAAAAGAAAAGAAACACAGAGCACUUACAAAGGUAUUGUCCAAAGUUCCAACGAGGAUAAACUUUCCAUUGGGCGAAAAUCUCACAAAGCUCACAGGUGGAUUCUCAUCAUCAAUCAGAGUCUUCAUACAAUGCCCAGUUGAAGCAUCCCAAAUCCUACACAAUCCAUCAUAACUACUAGAUACAAUCAGCGUCCCAUCCCUGUUAAAAUGAACCGCCGUCACAGGGUCUGAAUGCGCCGGCAAAACCUUCAAGCACUUCCCCGACUUAACAUCCCAUACCCGAACAGUUUCGUCGAACGACCCGGAAACAAGCAUGUUGGACUGAGGAUUAAAGUUGACGCAAAAGACGUAAUUGGUAUGGCCAGAGAGGGUUUUGACUAGGCUUCCGGUGGCAACGUCCCAGAGGCGGACGGUUUUGUCGUCAGAGGCGGUGGCGAGGUACCGGGCGUCGGAGGAAAAGGCGAGGUCGGAGAUUCCUUGGUCGUGACCUUGGUAUUCUUGGAGGAGGGAGCCGUCGGAAGGAGACCAGGUGCAGGCGGUUUUGUCGGCGGAGGCAGAGGCUAGGAGUCGGCCGUCAUCAGAGAAUUUGACGCUGGAGAUGGCUCUUUUGUGGCCACUUAGGUUAUGUUUUAGCUUGUAGGGCUUGAAGGCUUCUGCUGGUUCUGUUGUUGCUGAAGCCAUGCUCCCAAAAACUAAAUCUUCUUCUGCCCCUUGUUUUUAUGGGUGGUGCUGGGUGAAACUGGAGAAGGAUUUCUGGCCGGAGUUGGUGUUUAGAAGGGGUUUAAGGAAUGACACUUGCCCGUAGUAUGGAUGUGGUAUUAAGUGAUGGAGUGAGAAAAUCUAACGACCACCGGUAACUCACCCGGAUUUGAGCUCCAAGCCUGAGACUCACCGGUAACUCGUGCGGCAAGCGGGAUUCCCGGAGGCUCGGCCAGCCUGAGACCACGCAAUGAGCCAAAAGCAAAAGCUAUGGAGAUUGCUUGCUGAGAAGUCUCGCAAUAUAAUAAUGUUGUGUGAUCGACUUGAAUUUGUACUCGGACAAAACUUCUGGGAAUCUGAACCUUGUGGGAAUAGGGAUUGACCAAAAUUCAAUUUUAUUCUAGUAGUAAUAACUUUUAUUUUAUUUUAUUUUUUGCUUUUGGCACUCGGUAUCCUUGCCUUUAGUAAGACUAAACUGAAUUUGACUCGGAGAAUGCUGUAAAGUCCGGCUCUUACUCGAAAGCGGAGGUCAGGUUCAGAACUUUUCAAAGUGAGUUGAACUUGCGACCUUAGCAACCUACCAUUAGCAUUAGCAACUGCUUAUCAGCUAUUUCAAUAACCCGCUUACCAAUUGUCCCAAACUCAUGGUAGUAAUAAUAACUGUCAUAAUUAUUAUGAAGAGCUCGCCUGGCCCAGCGAUCUUUUAUACAUGUUUUUUCAGUAGUAAUUAUAGGUACUAUUUCACGUAACGUAGAUUUAGGGGUUCUAGAAUCAUCAAUGGUUGGUGAACCAGCAGAUCCAUUCGCAACUCAUUUGGAAAUAUUACCAGAAUGGUAUUUCUUUUUCGUAUUUCAAAUACUUUGUACAGUACCAAAUAAAUUGUUGAGUACUCUUUUAAUGGUUCCAGUACCUGCGGAUUAUUAAUAGUAUAUUUUUUAGAGAAUGUUAAUAAAUUUCAAAAUCCAUUUGGUUGUCCAGUAGUGACAACUAUCUUUUUGAUUGGUGUAACAUUACAUAUUCUGAUCCUUUCUUUUUCUCUUGAUUUUUUUUUGAUCGAGAUAUAUAGAUUCUGUUCAUAGAUUAACGAAAAUAUGCAAAAGCUCUAUUUGCCUCUGUCAUUUUAUGAGUCUCUUCCUUUUUGUGUAUGGCAUCGCCUCUCCCUUUGGCAGCAUCCACUAAUAUGGAACUUAAUUUGAAAGCCAUAUUUCGACUUGGAUGUUUUCGAGAUGCCGCUAAUAACCAAUGAAUGACAAGUGCUUUUCUAGUGGAAGUAAUACUUGAAAUGGCAAUCCAUAAAAAAAAACACCAAUAGUAAGGCUAACUAGAACAAGUCAAUAACAAAAAGGAAUUACUAAAUAAUUUAGUAAAGUUGAUAUGACUGCAAUUAGGGCUGUCAACGGGCCGGUUUCGGGCCAGAAUUCAUUAUUCCGGACCCGGACCCGAAUUACUGUACUGGACCCGGAUCCGACCCGUUUACCCGACGGGUCUUGUAUUCUAUGUUCCGGAUCCGGAUCCGGCGGGUCCCGGAUCUGGGUCGGGUCUACCCGAACAAAUUUAGCAAAAUUUAUAAUUUCUAAUAAAAAUGAGAAAAAAUUAUAUUUGUAAACUAAUUUCUAACUAAUGCAAAGAAAAAACCAAAUAAGAAAAGAAAUUAAAUUGACUUUAUUCAAAUACAUCACCCUAAUCAAAUUAUAUUGAUAAAUAUAUAUUUUUUUAAAUUAUUAAUUCAUUUAUAUCCGGAUCGGGGUCUAAUACGGGUCGGAAUACUAUAUUCCGUAUCCGACCCGUUUUUUGUUUGACAAAACGGAUCCGGGAAACGGAAUUAAAUCCCUACCCAUACCCGCAAUAAUUUCACGGAUCCGGUCCGGAUCCGGGUCUAGACCCGACCCGUUGACAGGCCUAACUGCAAUGGAUGGUCCAAUAUUGAAGAAACGAGCAUCGUCCCUAGAUGGAAGAAGAUUUUUUAUUCAAGUACUUUUGUACCAUCCACCAGAACUUGAAGACAAAAUAACCCAUGAGAAGGGCUGAUUUGCGGAUGAGGAAUUAGUGUAUCAACUCGCUUUCAUCCUUUCUGGCUUGGAGUCCAAGAUAAACUAAGCAGUAAGCAUUGAUAGUUCACAUAACUCGAAUACUUUUCAAUAAAAAUAGGAAAAGAAAACUAAAAGAAUAAAUAAAAACGAAGGGCGAAAUGAAACAAAAAGAACUCUAGUCAAUUUAUUCCUAUAAAAAAUGUAAUCGAUUCCAGUGGCGGAGCUAGGAAUUAACUUUGGAGGGGGCGAGUCUAUAGCAAUGAAAGUAAAAUAUAUUUACAAAAAAAAUAUUGUGAACAUAUAUAUCACAAGAUUAGAAACUUGGGGGGGCAAAGUGAAUUUUUUGAUCAAUUUUUGGGGGGCAAAACAUAAUAAUAAAAAUUUUUUUACUUAGAAAUUUUUUUUUAACAAUUGGAGGGGGGGCGGUUGCCCCCCCUGGCCCCCCCCUUCCCUCCGCCCCUGAUCGAUUCUUUCUUGGGUCGCGAACAGUGAUUCAAUUGAUAAUGAAGAAAGAGAAUUCUUGAUUCAAUUCUCUACCUUAACGACAGAAUAAACUUCUUCAUCUUGAAAAUGAGAAAAAGAAAGGUAAACAUUUUACCUUGUAUUUAUUCGUUUGUCAACAAAAUUUUUAUUUUUUUGUCAGUAAAAAGUACUAGGAUUUUUGGAAUAAUUCAGUAACCAAAAAAUUAUUAUUUUUAAAACUAAAAGAAUGAAUUUAAUUCUAUUUCAUAUUGAUUACAUCAACUCAAGAGAUGAUGAAAUUUUUCUAUUUCAUAGAAAAUUGAAAAUGGAUCAAUUUUUAAGUGUAUUCCGAUUAUUCCAAACUUUUAUUACUUAUUUAUUUGUUUGUUGAACAAAAAAAAACUUUUUGAAUUUCCAGUAGAAAGAGAUUUUCCUAAGGAAAAAACUUUUAAAACUGUCCAAUAUCUCUUCCUUUUUCAAAUAUUUUACGAAUACAUUUUUUUGAUGAAAAAUACACUUUUUUAAUGAAGAAUUUUUUUUUUGGAAUUGCCAUUUAAAGGGAAUUACUUAUUGUUCUAACUAGAUGUGAAAGACAUCUAUUGUUCAAAAUCAAUCAUUUAGACUAUUUAUUAUCGAAAUAAUAAUAAUAUCUUUCUAGCUGGUUUGGAAGAAUUAGGAGAUUCUUUAGAAGAAAUAUGGUUCUCCUUCUGGCGGCAACAUAGUUGGUACCGCUGAUGGGGUCAAAUCAAUAUCUUCACCACUUUAGAAUGUGAGAAAAUAUUGUGAUAAAACCUUUAUUGAUAUGUUGCGAUAAAAGAAAACAGAUUAAUCCAAAUAAUCAAAACAUGAAAAACGAGUGAUUCGGUAAAUGUUUUUGGAUAGGAGAUUAUUUAAAAUAUUAUCAGAAUAAUUAUUGUAGGACUUUUUACGAGAUAUAUAUGAAAUAAAAUGGUGAAUAGAAAGAUAAAGAUUGUAUUAAAAAAUGUGUUUGUGAUGCAAAUAAAUAUUUUUUUAAAAAUGAUUUCUGCCUAAACACAAACACUAGCAUUCCCGUUCAUGUUACUGAUUCAAUAGCAAAAUAAGUAGUGGUAAUAGUUUGUUGUGACGAUUUGUAACUAAUGCUAAUAAUGACGCCUUCAGGCGCAUAAUCAAAUGCAUUGUACAUAUGAAAUCUGUAAGGGAAGUAGCCCAUAAAAAUUGAAGCUGCAACUCGAGUGGCAAAAUAUUCUUCGAGCUUUGCAACAAUGUUUGUCAAAAAUUCUACGCUAGAAGAAACCACCCACUAGAUUUCUCCGUUUUCUGAACGUAGAUGGAAGUUUGAAUGAGCGCCUUUACCGCUGCUCCAUUACAGAUAACUCGGGCUGCUGCUACUACUACCCUCUGCCACAUAUAUGUACAAUUAAAUCCCAUUCAAAAUCACGAGCCUACGUAGUUCAGGAAACAUUCUGAAACAGAGAGAAGGUAAAAGAAUGAUUUGAAUCGCAGGGAACAAGAAAAGGGACAGAAUAAGGACUCGGCUGUUUGCCAUUGGCUACAAUCAUCUCUCGAUGGUCCUAACUCCUAGUAUAGUCAAAAUUAUGUACAAUCCUCGGGCGCAAAGACAUGAAGAGGAGGCUAAGAGAUUAGGCAGUCGGUAUAAAGUUUAUUGAACUUUGGAGAGAUAAGAAUCAACAGUCAGGGACUAAAUGAACUUUUUCUCGAAGUAACAAAAGAAGGUAGCUGUGAUGUCUCUGGUAGAUUAGAGGAAUUGGCUUUUGCAGAAACAAGUUGAGGACCGGCAGGAAUAUUCUCAAAUGGCCUAUUUCUAAACACAUUAUACAUGUCGCUAGCACAAGUCAUAUUGGUUCUUCCCUGGGUGUCCUGGCUAGUAUGCAUUCCCACUCCCAGAGUUGCUUGAUUUUGUUGACUGAUAGAGUUUGUCCAGAUAUCCUGCGAAAGAUUCAAUAGCUACUACAUGCAGUUACAAAAAUAAGAAAGGAAUGGUAUUAUAAAAAAAAAACGCAAACUAUGUAAAGGACAUAACUUGUGUCAUUUCAGGUUGGUGAUUAAUUGAUAGAUACCUGCUCCUGCCUACUAUUGCUGUAAGGCGAGACCAUGGUUCUCAUCUGUGGGAAUGAGUUACGCAAAUAAAGAGGAGAUCUAUCAGGGGUGCAGUACUGUGAGUUAGGCCCAUUUCCAAACCAGUGCUGACUACUAAGCCUCAUGUAUGCUGCCGGUGAGUGAUUGAGAGACAUGUAAUAAUAUGAACUAUGAUGCUCCUCUCCGCAAUAUGUACCAGGCACUGUCCAGUUGUCCUUGGAAAGUGACCUGACACUCAAGUUUUGGUGUUGUGGAAAACCACAGCGUGCUCUAGUGUGCAACUUAUUAUUCGUGGAACAAGAUGAAGGUGAGUAUCUUCCACAUCCCAUAUCUAAUGAAGGCUGAUAGUAUCUUACUCCAACUUGAGGCGUUGGCAUAUAGUCUUCAAUUGUAAUCCCUUGUUUCUCGGUAAGCUCCAAUAACUGCUUCUCAUCAAGUCCCAAACUCAGCAGCAGAUUCCACAUAUUCCUCUGUGCUUCCCUCUGGCUGCAAAUAAUUUGAUCUCUCAUAGCCAUUUCAAACUGGAGCUCAGUGUUUGCAAUUCCCUUUACAUAUCACAAUUCGAGGAUUGUUAGGUACAGCAAACAAGUUCCCAGGCCCAGAAAAAGCCCUAACAAUCAUUGGCUAUCCAGCAUUCAAAAUUCCCAACCAACUUGUGCCAACCAAUAAGCGAAGUUGGAGAAAUACAAAAAGGGCAAACCCAUUAAGCAUGCUUGAAGAAAGGUACCAGCUCGACAAAUACUCAAAUAACAGAAGCUACUAAGUCUAAUUUAUGAAGAAGGAAAAUGUUUCUAACAUUUUAUGUUGUGAUACGGAAGCUAAAUGAUGCAUGUAUGAUGUAAUACCAGGAGUCUGUAUUGACUCAGAACUCGCAAAUAGGUUUUGUUGCCAUUGUUGCUGAUUGCAUCUUCAAUCAUUUCUUGUAGCUGAUACCUGCGCUUCUCAUUUGCUUCAAUUUCCUGCAGGAUAAAGACUUGUUAAAAUAAGAAAGCUACAAUAGAAGGAACCAAUUUACAAAAACAGCUAUGUAUGGUCACCAUCUGGUAAUGGACACCAAGUUCAUCAUUGUCACGGAUAUUGUCAAGAAUCACUUGCCGCCUCUGUCUCAAAGCCUGCACAACUGCUCCAUCUUUUUCAAUUUCCUGUGAUGCAAAUAGGAACUCAUUUGGACAUGAUUUUCUGGCAUAUAUGUCUAAUCUCAACAGUUAAUCUGGACUUCAGAUGCCUUUGUAUCCGCAGGAGGUUUGGAAUUCAUCCUCCCAGAAUGACAGAAGAGGGGAUUUUUGUUGACAAGGUCACUGGUAGUUCACCUACUUGUUUUGGAAAAUGUUUUUGAGUGUAAAAUAAACUCUCACUUUUUUCUACCUGCUGUUUUGCAAUAGCAUCAUCAAGUUGUUGGAGUUCAGUGCGGUUAUGAAGGUUAGUUUCCUCCAGUUCAAAUAGAGCCUUCUGCAAGUUUAUCCUUUCCUGAACAUUUUCACUGGUUUCUUGGCUCAACCCAUCCAACCAUGACAUUUCAUCAUCCACAGAUUUCUCAGCAGGCUUAGCACUCAGUUGAGAUUCUUUUUCUGAUAACUCCUUUCUCAACUGGCUCACUUCAUUCUGCAGAUAUUUCAUUGUACAUGGAAGUGUUAAUACCUGACAUAAUACUUUCAUGUUGGUAUAUCAAGCAGGUUACCUGUAGAGUGUCGAUCAUCCUUUGGUAGUCUGACACGUGUGUAUUUAUGGUGCCGAUAUUUUUCUGACAUGGGUAUGGACAGAUUAUCAAAUCUAUGACCAUGGUUGGAAAUUGCGUCAAUUGAUUAAGCAUUCAGGAUACCAUUAGACAAGGAAUGAGGAAAGAACCCAAUAAACAUGAUGAAACCUUCAAGAAAUUAAAGCAUUGUCAUAGCAUGUUUUGGAGAAAGAUACCAUGCAAUUAUGGUAUUCAAAAAGAUAUAGGACAACAUGAGGACCCAAAACCGCAACUUGCUUUCUGGAACACAACAUACAAUCUCUGAAUGUAAUUUUAUUUCCUUGGAAUCACUUUUAUGAAAAAGAUUCAAUUUGCAUGCCUCAUAAGGGCUUCUUAUGCGGUUUGGAGAUACCACUAACAUUCAGCAAUAGUUCUUAAAGUGAAUCUUUUAGUGAAAAAUCAUCAAAUUUAUUAGGGAAGUGACUCUUUGACAGCUCAGCCGCACACCCUUACAGGUUUUUCAUAUGAUUCCCCAAUCCUUAAGAUCACCAGCAAUAAAGCUUAGCACUCUGACCAUUUGAUGGAUCAUUGCCAAGAUAUUUGUGGUCAAUCAUUAGUAAGUUCAAAUAUGAAUCCAUAAUCAAAGGGUAUUCUAUGUAAGUUCACCAAAACAAGAAGAUAGAUUCUGUCAUCUCCUCAUGCCACAAGAAUUUCUUGAUGCAAUGAGAUUUAAAUACCCCAUCUUAAUUUUCCUCAAAACAAAUGUGAACAUAUAUACGAGUCUCACCUGGAUGUGUGUCCGGAUUUCUUUUGCUCGGUCAGCAUACUUUAACGUAUUAACUGUGUGGUGAUACUGACUAUCGGCUGGUGAUACUGUAGCAAUCAUUAUUGUUUGGGAAUUACCGCUCAGACCAUCUUUAAGAAUCCGUGUCAAUUUGCUGGAAAGGAUUUACUGUUAGAUAUAAGAACAAGAGAAACCAUAGAACCAUGAGUCCAUGACAACUGAAAGCAUACCUGUUUCUAUAAGGAACAUAAGCUAGACCCUUUUUCUGUUGCUUGCCAAGGGCAUUUAUGCAGUUUGCUAGUGCAAGAAGAGAUCGAUUAAUAUUGGCACCAUCUCUCAACUUUUUGCCUCCGCUAUUUGUUUCAGAUGCUCGUUCACUGCAUAAAAAAGUUUGCAAUGAUAAGUAAUUAACACCUUUGAGUAGAGCAGGAUACCUAAAGUGCAAACAAACAGAAGGAACCAAACCUGCCAGCAAGAUCGACAAGGGAAAGUUUUCCCCUAAUGACCUGAUUGGGAUACUUCUUACUCUGUUUCCUUGUCACAUUUAUCCCCAAAACUGCAUGUGAUCUGGCCAUUGAAAGCUAAAAUUAGUUCGACACAAAACUCAGAUGAAACAUAUUCUACUCAAAUAAGUGAAAUAACAGGUGACACAAGACUCUCCACUACAUAAUUGAGAUUUUAUGCUUCACUAUACCAGACAAGGCCCAGUUCACAUACUAGUGGAAGUGUUAAUUUCCCAGAAUUACUUAAACUAGAGAAAUGUUUAUUUUAAAAAAUGUUGGUAUAUAGUUAAAGGAAUAACAAAAAUUAGAGGAAAAUUAAUGGGCUUAAAUGGAAUCUUUGUUCUCAAUUACUGCUGAUAAAACCUUUGCGAUAAUCACCCAAAACGAAGAAUAGCUGGACCCAAGUUUCUCAGUAGAAACGGAGAGAGAAAUUUGGCACUCAGAAAUCUGGACGCUACAGGGUUUAAGAAGAGUCAACCAAUUCAGCCAUAAUCCCAGAAUUAAAGAGCGUUCUUCAUGCUUGAAACCCCUAAAAACCCUGUCAAAGUGAAGCUUUCUUAUGGCCAUAAAAGGCCUGGGCUAAAGUACAGUUAACCAUAUAUCUAUUACUCAGAAAAUACAAAAGUCCUGGUUCCAGUCAAGAACACCAUAACAUGCCACCAGUUAACAGACUGCAGCAACUUAAUUCAACUAGAUGCACAAGAAGAAUAUAUUGCUAACCUGGAUGAAGUUUCAUUAGCUUCAGUGCUUUCAGUUUUUCUUCUACUGUUCCCCAAAUUCAAAAGUUCUAGAAUCUUAUCAGCUGAGUUUACCUGGAAAUGACAAAGAAGAAACUUAGGAAAUUACACACACACACAGAAAUUACAAUGUUGUUAAGGCCUGUGAGUUGUCCUAUUGUACAAAGUAGAUGAAUCCAAUAUUUAUAUGCACAAAAGACUAACAGAAACCACAUAACAUCAGAUUCAAUAGCAAAAGGAUGGUUACUCCUCAAGACUUGCGGUAGUUCUGGUCAAUCUAAUUAUAAGGCCAUGAUCCCCAAACAUACCAAGACAUAUCAAGAACUAUAGGGAAUUUUACUAGCUAGGUUUGAAAAAUUCAAAAAGGAAAUGUAAAAUCAGUAGCAUGUUAACGUGUGAAGUAUCAAACUGAAAUAUUUAUUGGGCCUACUGUCUUAAGAGUCAAAUCGAGCAAAGAAUUUGGAAAAACAAGAAAAGGUAUAAGCAUAAGAACAGAGCAGAACAUGAAGCUGCAUCCUAAAUUGAAAACUGUGACUUUAAGGAUAAAAGCGUACAGCUGCUUGUGAAUGUUUCUGCUCUUGACAAUCCACAAGUACACGGAUAAGGCGAGUACUAAGACUAUUUUAUUAUGUCCUCAGCUCUAGCUGAAUGUUAUACUUGGCGUGAGUGACAACCCAUUACAAAAAUCAAAAUUGGAAACAACUGGUAUGGUUGACUAAGCCAAAUUAAGAAAGUGGAAGUCAUAAGAGCAAAUGAGUAACUGGAGUGAAAUAGAGUGCUGAUACCCUUUGUCCAAUAGACCAGCUUAAUGAUACAGUUUUAUACUUUGAACAUACACUUCUUAUACACAUACAUGAGCGUAUCUCACACAUGCAUAAAUGCAUAGUUUAUACUCAACACUUAAAGCAGUAAAUAUAUCGAAUACUCUGAAAAAGAUCCUGACAGUCGUAAAUGCUGGCAUCUAGCAUGACACUAUGACCUGAGUUUUACCCUAGGAAAAAAUGAACCUUGAUGCAUCUAAGGCCAGCAACAAUUAUUCCUUGCUCUGGGUCUUCUCUGAGUUCCAGGUGACCUGAUGACCUUUCAAGCAAGUCAUAGAUAACCUGUACAUUUUAAUUGUCAGACAUGGACCAAUAUGAUUAAUCAUAAAAGUCAAAAUGAAGAUCUUUUCUUUUGUUCUUUACAUAUGGGAACUCUACCUCAUUGUAAACUUCAAGAUAAGAACAAGUAACUUCAAAUUGAUCGCAGCUAUUAUCUUUCUUUAUAAGAUCAAAAAUUGUUUUAAGACUGAGAACCAUAAGUCCAGGGUCAUCUUGAGUCCCUACCAUUGUAUAUGUUUUACCGCUGGAAAGAAAAAACCAUAUUAGAUGAAGAAAAAAAUUCACAAGGUGCAUAUUAAUCACACAACCAAAAAGAAUAAAAUCUGAUAAGAUCCUCUUGUGAUGAUAUGAGAAGAUGUUGCCUACCAAUCAUUUGAUUGCAAAAUACAGGUGAACGAAGGGCAACAAUAUAUGUACCAUUACAUAAAGAACCAAAGGAGGGGAGAGAAGGAUGAGAAGCUGAGCGAAUAGGAGAGGACAAAGUUUAAGGUCUUAAACCUACAUUGCUCUGGAAAAGAUAAUGACAAUGUGGCAUCUCCAAAUAAAUAAUUAAUAUAUUAUUCCUUCAAAGGUAGGCUACAACUAAUUGCAAGACUCUUGCAUUACUAAAACUACUCUUUUGGUAUCAUGCAUUUUGUCACUUCCAUUUCUUCUGCCAGUUAUAAAAUGAGAGAGAGGCAGUGAUACUACUGCAGUUGGGGUGAAAAAUUUUUUGAUCCUUAUGAGAAAAGUUUGAAAUGUUCACGAGGCCUCUGUCAGUGAUACAUAAGGCCUUGAGAUCAGAAUGUCUUAGGCUACCAGAAAAUGCACAGCAAGUUAUUAGUAUACCUAUACCUUACCAUGUGUUAACAUGCAUUUAAUUCCCCUCACGAAACUAACAAAUUUGAAACCAAAAGCAAAAGAGAAACAGGCAAGACAAAUAAAAUCAUGAGCUUAAGAAAGCUAUCAAUCUAUCUUGAUAUUUCUCAAAGUGCAAAUGUGUCUGGUAAGCUCCACUCACUGGCUACUUGCAAUGCUUUUAUUAUGUACCUUCCUGUUGAACCAUAAGCAAAUACAGUUGCAUUCAGACCUUGAAUCACCCCAGCUAUUGUAGAAUGUAUGCUUCUUUGGUAUACGUCCUAAAAUAAUGCAAAGACUAUAUUAUGCAGAGGAAAAGAAAUUUAAAUAUUGCAUAUUUGAGCUUUCUAAUGCCUUUCAAAUUUCAUCAGAGGGCUAUGUUAUACCACAAAAUAAUUGAAAGCUACAUAGAAGUUAGAGAAGACAUACCAAAUUCGUUGAGAUAGGGGCGAAGACGUAAUCAAAAUUAUAUCUGCGUUCUUUAGUUCUAUUCUGUAUGCGAUCCAGAUAGUCCUUUGAUAGGUCAGGAUCCAAAACAAGUACUUCCUAAAAUUUCCAUAGUUUUCAUUACCGCGCAUUACUUAAAAUAAAAGUACAUGACAUAAACUGAAUUACUCAAACAAGAAGUUAAACUAGAAACUGAAAUUCCCUAACAUUCCACCAAACUAUAAUCUGAUUAAUUCCGCAAAAUCUGAGCAGAAAGUAAGCACAAAAUCAUAGAGCAGUAAAACGAAUAUACCUUAUCGUUAUGAACUCUAAUUAUAUUUCGGCCACGAUCUCUUUCUGUCAAUGGCCGACAUUUCACAGCUACCUAUAUUACACACAACCAUACAGAAAUUCAACAAUUCAGCAAACUAAAAAUGGUGAACUGCAAUUCCGGUAAAACGUGGCAAAGACCAAAGCAGAUAAAUAAGCAAACCGUGAGAGUCGUCGUCCUCUUGGCAGCUGGAGCUCUAAUGCUUGGCAUCUUUUGACACCAUUCAGCUAAGAAUAAUACUCCGCUUGAAACUCUCAGUAUCGACGAUUCUACACCAGGAGGGAAACCGAAAAAAAAAAAAAAAAAAGAGCCAAGUACUACUGAAAAUUCGUGCUCUGUGGCGGUAAAAAAAAAAAUUUUUUCCGGUUCAACAUAUGCUUCAUGGUAGUGUAAUCAACAGCGAAAAUGAUUAUCUAAAAACUUCUAUCAGCUGAAAAUCUCCGGUUAUUUCAAUGAGCCUUAUUUAAAGACAAAACAAGGUUGUUUCUACAAGAAAACGACAACGUAUUGAGGACCUUUGUGCAGAGUAAUUCGAAAUGGCAAAACGAGGACGGGUGAAGGUGAUGAAUGUAAUAGAGAACACGGUUUAAAAAUUAAAAUUAAAGAGAAAGGAAGAGGAGUAUUAUUAUUAUUAUAACUCCUGCAAAGUGUUUGAAUAUUCAAAUCUUUCCAGCUUUUGAAUAUUUGUAGGAGUAAUUGUUCUUUCUUCCAUUUUUUUUGGGUAUCGGUAACGGCAGCGCAAAACUUUCAUUUGCAUUGAAUGUAGCCGCAGAAAAAUUAUAAUACACUAAAUUAAAAGGCUACAUUUCGAUAUCAGGAUAAGAGGCGGGCGGGUAAUCCAAUUGCAAUUUUGUAAUUUGCAAAUGGUAAGCUGAGUGUGUAGAAAGAAUGAAGACAGAAAUUUUGAGGGGAAGUUGGUGGUGGUGGAGUGAGUCCCUUGUCCGUGUUGGUUUUUAUCAUUUAUGGUGUUGCCGUUGACGAUCCCAUUCUGGGGUUUCGGUUGAGGUGGCCCUUUUUGUGAUCGUGGCCAUUUGUUUUGUUUUUUUAUUUGCUUUAUUAAUCGGGAAACUUGGAUAAAAUCAAUCAUUUUAAUAAUCCAUUAGAAAAUUAAAUCCAGAUCUUUUUCUUUUUUUUGGGCGAAGUAUUAUAUUUUCCACAUUAAUCACGAAGGAAAGAAAAAGAUUUCAAAACUUUUCAGAAAUUUUAUUAUCUCCAAAUUAAAAAAGCGAGGUUUCCAAGACAGAACAAACGUAACUUUCAUACCCUACCCUAACUAAAGAGUUACCCAAAUUGUAGGAUACCUCAGUCCUAACCGCACAUCAAUCAACUUCGCUUUCGCUCGUUAUCCAGAAAAGGUGCAGCUGUAUGACUAACCCUUUUGGUGUUGGUGAUGCAGUAAAUUGACAGUUGAAAUCCAAGUACGUGAAACAGAAGACAGCAUCAAAUAAAAAGAGUAGGAGAAUGACGUGGCAAGAAGCCGCAAUUUUACGUAGGCCGUAGACAAUUCCCCAUGCACGUCACCCGUCUAAUACUCUACUAUUAACUCAUGUUAGCUCAAUUGACAAAAGAAAAGAUGAAUUAUUUUUUCGAUUGUGUGUUGGAAUUUCACAACCAACAUGAGGGAUUUAUUGAUUUAUAGGUUUUUCUAUUGUCAUAAUUAAUUACGGAGUGAGGAUUCUGUAGAUAGAAGGGUAUCACCAUCAACUUUAACAUAAAUUAAUACAGUCUAUUAGAUUGAUGUAAGAAAUAUCCAUGUUUAUUGAUUUAAAAAGGGCAAAUCCAUUUUUUUCUUUUACAAUGACGUCAAAUAGGUCCAAAAAUUUUAUUAGCAAAGGGGGAAAAGAAGUGAAAUAAAAUAAAAAAAGGAAAAAAAAAAAAAGAAGUGCCAAUGUAUGAUGAGGAGGGAAUAUAUAGAACUCAAGAGGCUAAUUUAUAUUGAGAAAGUAAUAUUUUUAUGCAACUAAAGAAGAGAAUUUUAUAAAAAGUCUAGGGAUGCAAUUAUUAUGAUUCGAACUUACAAAUAUUGAAGAGUUUUAAGACUAUUAUGUAAUUUUAUCAAAUUUGAGGGAGGAAGAGGGUAAUUGUUCGCCUUCGCUCCUAUCUAUGUAACUCCGCCACCGGCCAUAUCCAUGGUCUCGAAGCAUGUCGUGAUCGAUGGUGAUGGUGGCUGAAAACGAAAUUACCCAAAAUUUUAUUCCAAAACAUAAAGAGACCGAUCUACUUUAACAUGGUAACAUGCAAAAAUUCAAGCACUGCUCCGAACUUCGAAGUUACUGGCAGGAUAGAGUUUACUGCAGUAGCCGUAUUGGUAUGAUAGACCACCAAAAAUAUCGAAGGUUUAAGAGCAAUGAGGGAGGGUCCGCCGAAUUAUAACCCAAGAUGGAAAAAAUGGCAAAGCGUAAGGAUUGGUGAUGACAAUCCGCCGUUGGCUGCCUUUCUAAGAAAAGAACCAAAACUGUAUUUCAUAUCAGUGGCCGUCCUGUCUGGAAUUUGUCAUUAUUUGUUUGGUAGGAUUGUACUGUGAUUAAUUAUGACAUCACUCUGAAACCUCAUUAACGUUGACCCUGCAUGUUUUGCAGCUGUUCUUUCGCUGUUUUGGUCAGGUGGUCCAAAUGGUGAUAGACAGUAAACAAUACUGGACUUGCGCUCAGACUGCCCAUGCUUUUUCAUGAGGACAUUGAUUUCCUUGGGCCAGGUCCAGCUAAACAGUUUUAAAGGCUACUGAAAAAAUUUUAGUCCACGAACCCCUGUAGCAGCUCAGAAAUCAGGCGAACAAUCAGAGAGGAAGAUUCCACUCUUUGGGACAUCUGAUAAAAGAGAAAUUUCGGACAUCUCAGAAUAAUUAAGGAGCGGCAAUCAUCUGAAAAAUAAACAAUGAGACGGACAGGAGUGUUUAGUUUAUGAGCACAAAUUGCCAACAUGCCCGUGAAAGUUUAUAUGCACAAAAACAGAAAGCCUCCUUCGAUGUCUCCAUGGACUUGCGUAUGUACAGUUCGUCAAGAAACGACCUAUUACUUCAUAGAUUCUUUAUUGCUGCAUAUGCCGAAACAUGAAUAUCACAACACUCUGCAUCCCACGAGAAAUCCUUUGCCAUGGCAUCUGUGAUCUUUCUGUUCCACUGAGAUGGAUCCUCCUCCUGCAAACAGGAAAAUAAGAAACUUAAAUAUCUUUGAAGGUUUUUUUUUUCAAAGCUUUUUGAAGAAUUCUGAAGCUGUGAAACAGGAAAAGUUUAGAGGGAAUGCCCACGAUUUCAUUGAUUGCUUGGCUUAAUGACAUAUUUCCAAAGGAAUUUCUGAUGUACUUUGAAACUUCUGGACGCCCAAAAUCAUGAUCCGCAAAAUUCCUGUUGAACCAGUAAUUGCAUAAACAUUUUUCAGCUGUUUGACAAGCUAAAAAGCCAAAAGAUAUAGGAGUAUUCAGACUAACCCGAAUUUGUCAUCAGUAAAAUUUAAUGCAACAAGUCCAGCUCCAUAUUUUAUGGCCUUCAGCUGCAUGAUUUACCCCAGCACAGAAAAAAGCUUCAGCAUUGUAAAUACCCUUUUGUCAUGAACGUAUAACCAGAGAUGCACAGGGAGAUAGACAAAGUGACCAUAUAGGCACAAUAAGCUAAUUUAAGAAAAUUUGUCAAGAAGGGUUAUCGGGAGAAACCAAAAAAAAAGAGCCUUGGCUGCUUGAAAAAUAAACAAGUCUAUUUCAGUUGAGAUAACAAAGACGAAAUAAAAAGCAAUUCUAUGCAAUAGUAUUUAAUAAAAGAAAAGGUAAAGCUCACCAAUUUUAGUAACAAUAUUGUAGUACACAUACCGGUACUUGAAGCUCUGGAUCGUCGAAAGAUGGGCACAAAAUAAUGUCGCAUCCAGCUAAUAUCAAAUGCAGUAAAGGUUCGUCAUAUUUAUCAAUAAACUUCACAUUUCCAUCCUGCAUAGAAGAACAUAUACUAGAUGAUUUGCAGAUCUCCUUUAUUGGAUCUAACUAUUAGUCAUAUUCGUUCCAAAUCAAAACACAAGUUUGCAGCAAUGAACUUCUUUAACGACCAGGAAACUAGCUUUUAGCUGAAGAUCUUCAACCAUAAAGAACACAGAAGCAAUCUUUUCAAGCUUCAAGUCAAUCAUUACAAAUGAUCUCCAAUAAAGCAUAACACUUAAUCAACUUCAGCUAAACCAUUUCAACUUUCAAUUUAUCCAAGGACAGAAAAACUUCAUCUAUACCAUUUCAACCUUCACAGAAUAAAUCAUGAAACUGCUAUGAAACCACCACCAUGACAAUCAUAACAGAAGGUGCUGCCUGUAUCCAUACGUAAACAUCUGCCAGCACACAACACAGCUAAGCAAUUGGAGACAUGAAACAGUCAAGAAUGGAAAUGGAAAUACGGGGCAUGACAUUAAGCCAUAGCUAGCAGUUUUCUUCAAUAAUUCACCAUGAACUACCUUAAGCCAUAGUUAGCAUUAAAAUCAUUUUGAAGGUGUUUUUAGCAGGAAAAUUUCUAUUUCUCCCCUAAAAAGUAAAGAAAGAGUGGAACCAGAGACACCAGAAAUAUUUAGAUAAAGACAGGUGCAAAAUACCUUGAGUUCUAACAGCAAAGAUUCCACUUCUCUUCUUAAGUCUGGAUUUUGGCUACACAACAUGAAGACAAACUGAAGAGGAUAAUAAGAGAAUCAGACGUAGGCAAUAAAUAAAUAUAGAAGAUGAUAAAAGGACUUUGACUGCUCAGAAGCUGAUCAGUUAGUUAUUCAGCAUGGUUAUCUGCAAGUACAUUAGGAUAAGCUGUUAAAAACAAAUAGAAAAAGAAAGGUUCAGAAACAACCUGAAUUCCCUUUCUGGAAGCCAUCCAAACAAGAGUCUUGAGGUUCUCCAGGUAAACAUCUGAAACUUCUGUUAACAUGCAACCAACCUGGAAUUACAACAUUUCUAUUUUUGGGUUGGUAAGACUUCAUAUGCUGUACAGGAUACAAAAAAUUUUGUGGAAACACAGAUAAGUACAUAGAAUACAUGCGAAAGGAAAGACAUUUUUAAUGUGCAUGACUCUCCAGAAAGGUUGCUGGAGGUCGGCCUCACAGAUGCUCUUUUACACAUAACUAAAGGUCGUCAAGGAUGAAAAUGCAAAGAUUAAACUCUGCUUUCCUCUUUAUCUUUCAGCAUACUCUAUCGCUGGCUAUUCUCCCAGGUGAAAGAAAGGUCAGUUCACCUACUCCCGAGAUUCCCCCUCUCCCGAGAUUCCCCCUCUUAUCUUUUAUUAUUGGGGACACUUCAAGAAUAAGAUUUUCAAUGUACUUACAAGAAUCAUGGAAGCAUUCUUUGUUAACCCAAGGUGCUUCUGCAAUGAAAUUUUGCAUACAGAUUUCCCUUUCAUAUCUUCUUCACUGUAACUUUCUGGAAGAAAUUUGUCCACUGAAGGAUCCCAAACUGACUUGUCAAAUCCAUAAGGAGCAAUCAGCAGCUUGUCCCUUCAAUCAGAAUCAGGAGUAAGGAAAUGUGAGGACUAGAUAUCAGAUUACCAUGACCAUGAAAUAAAUAAUGAUGGGUACAAAGCUUAGAUUCUAAAUUACAUUUAAUUGCAUCACCACAUCUGAUGUUCAACAAAGUUACAAACACCAUGCCUAUUUCAACAUUUUAAGGUCCAAGUUCAAAGAAUGCCUCGAUGGUAUUACUUACUUGUGAAUGGCUAAGGUGGGUUCCAUUCCAUGACCCAAUUCAGUGAUGAGAUGGGCCUUUGUUUGCAUGGAUGCAAUCACUAUCACUUUAUUGGAGUAAACAACUCCACCCUGAAAUUUAGCAAAGAGAGUUCAAAUCAAGUUCACAGCAAAUUCAACGAAGCAUAAAUGCAACAUCAGUACUUUGCAGUGCUUUCAAUAAUCACAAGAGAACCCACAUUUCCACUAUAACUGGACCAGUGGAGAACUACCUCUCUCUCUCUUUCUCUCUCUGAUUUCAUCUUCCCCACUCUGAUCUCUAUCAGUAAAGCACUUUAGAAGAACAAAUUGGUGACCAGAUAUUUUGUUACCAAUAAAAGAGAUACUGCCUGUGGGAUUUUUAACAUUUACAUGGGUCAGAAUUCUUUGAACAUUAAGACUCUGGAAGCUAGCAGUACCUAGUAAAAUACAACUUUUAAUUCAUAUCUGAGUUCAUGCGAUAAUCUUCACUUCCAAUUAUUUGAUGAUUUUUGGUUGCUUAACAUUAUUCUUUUCCUUUUCAAUGUAGAGCAGUAAAUGCAGAUGGCACUCAGCUUUUAUCCUCAACUGGAGCAGAUUUAGCAAAUGUCCGGGAAGAGAGGGCAGGAGAAACACCUUUUUCCCUAUAUGAGCACUUAUAUCACAGAAACAAUGAUUGCACCUUUGCAUGAUGCUCUUCCGAAGACUAGCAUUGGCUUGAUCUCAAACCUUGAGAUCAACCAUGCAUCCAAAAUAGCAAACAACACCAAUAAGAAAGGACCUACUUUCCCGUAGAAUUCUUCCAGAGCAAGGUAAUGUGCCCAGAAGCUCAGAAAGGAGGAGAAUACCUUCAAAAUGUUGACCAUAUGAGUCUUGUUAUUAUCUUGAAGGCGAUCAGGACGAUGUAGUCUUGAAGGAUCAAGUCCACACAGAGCAAGCUUCUCAGGUCGUUGAAGACACUAAUGAAAAAAGAAUCAUCAGUAUAAUUGCUACAAACAUGGAGAUAGUGCAAUAGCCAUCCCACAAUUCAGAUAUAUUUUACAUCUGCUAAGCAUAGAUACAUGCCUGUGAAUCAAAGCCCUGGCACGUCAAUAAUAUUCUAGUACCUUCGAGUCCCUGUGUAAUAAAAGCUCAGAACUGUUAAGGUAACAUCAUGAAUUAGUAAGCCUAAUACUUAAGCUAACUUGUUAUAAUUAGUAGUACAAACAGACCAUAAGACUAAUACAGGGAGGGGGGAAAAAAAGAAAAAGAAAAAGCGUAUGGUCCAUUCAACCAGGAAACAUAAAACUGGAAGCUUUCCAACGCCAGUUUUAGCUGUUUUAACCUAAUACAAAUGGAUGAAGUAAUAACAACCUACGACUCAUGCAAAAGAAUCUCUAGUUCCAUGUUCAUAUUCCUAACAAAUUAAAAUAACAUUUUGUUUACUCCAUUCACAAAGCAAGACGCACCACAAGAGUGCUACACAUAAAUGUGUCACCUUCCCAAAAAAAUUAAACUACUUUAUUUGUAUUCCUUGUGUGGUCUCGAAGAGAGGGAAGAACCAAUGAAACCUGAUUGACAAAAACGUCCCAAAAUAGGGGCCCAACAAUUGAUGUUUCCCAAUUGUGUAUGUGAACAAUAUCGGGCUUCUUUCCUGAUUUCACUAGAUAAUCCAGCGAUGCACGAGAAAAAUAGGUGAAUCUAGCAGCAUGAAGAAGUUGUUAGAAGACCACAACAAAAGCUUAUGAUUGUAAUUAUCCAUGAUACAAAAUAAACAAGAAAUGAUCAGCUUAUGCUCAUGUAUUAGGGACAAAAUGAAAAUAUUAGGGUCAGAAAUAACAGAUUUUCCAGAAGAAGACUUCAAGCUACAUGAGUGUGUCACCAUUAGAAAUGCUCAACAUACAACCAAGUGAACAAAUAUUGGAGAUGUCUACAAACCUUUCAAAGUCAUUUCCAUAUCCAUAUACUCUCUCAUGACUGAAAAAUGCUGAAUAGUAGACUGGUUGUAUAAAUGUAACUCCAAUGCCAAAGACAACCCUGUUUUCCAAUCACUUAAUUGAUAAAUAAGAGACUAAAAGGGAAAGAAAACUGUAGCUUCUGUGUGUCUGUAUAUUGUUUUGCAGAAUUUCUUUAGCUCCCAAUAAACACAACCCCACUUCACAGAAAGACAACUAAACAAAGACAAACACCACAAUUCCAACAGACAACACAAUAUAAGAUAAAACACCGCAAAAAUCCAUACUCACCCAGUCCAGAUUCUGUUUUUAUGCAAUUGACCAUUAAAAAAUGAAUAGACUUCUGCUUCAACUUCUCGAAGACCUUGAACUUCGUCUAAAUUUAGGCAUGCAUACCUGGUUGAAGCAUUAUACCAAGAAUCAGAUGCUUUCAGAUGAGAAUUAAGAGCAAGCAAAACAUAAGUGCUCCUUUUUCAUUGUAGAAACUGCAUUACUUAAAGUGACAUCGUCUACAAGUCGGUGCUUGUUCAACCACUCUGUUUUAGGUCCUAGUGAUGAAGAGAUGCAACAGGUUUUCUACAGCAUGAGUGCACUUAAUCAGUUAUGAUUCCCUGUUCUGGCCCAAAUAAAUUCACAUAUGCCAACAAGGACGUAAAUUUUAAUCUUAGUGCUGAAAGUUGCCAACUGAUCGCAAGGGUGAUAAACUUCAUGAAUAUACUUGUGCAAGGGUACAGAAACCAAAAGUCACAUGACACGAUUUUUUAAUGCAGAUAGAAAUGUAAUUAAUAUUUAAUGCUAUUAGGAACCUAAAGCAAAGACCAAAAAGUUGUUGAAACAGACAUUUAAGUAAUCUAAAUUGCAAAACAUAACUAGAAGUUGCAAAACAUAACUAAAUUGCAAAACAUAACUAGAAGUUGGUCUACCUUCUAAUCAAAAGAAUGUCUCCAGCAAUGGAUAAAGGAGGUUAAAUGAAGCUAGUCAAUUAUUGUUUUACUUGAACAUCCGCAAUAAGAAAUGUAAGCAAAACUUAAAAACUAAGAGAAUGCUGUGAUUACUUGGGCAAAAUGACCUCGACCACAUGUCCCUUUCUCUGCAGAGCACAGGAUAGUCCUGUAACAUAAGAUGCCAAAGAUCCCACAGAGACCACUGGUGCCAUUUCAGCAGAAAUGUGAACUAUGUGGAAACCCUUCCUGGAUUUGAAAAAGAUGAGGAUGCAUAGAAAUCAAAGAAUAGCAAAAAAAAAAAGAAUAAAUGAUUAGGGAUAAUAUAUAUUAUCCCCUAGGUGGAUGUCUUCAAUGUGAAAGUGGCAAAAAAAGGGAGAAGGUGGAGGUCCUAUCCCAUAUGGGGAAACAUUGUAGAUGUGAGAUGCAUGGCUUUUGAAAACAGGAAUCCAAGAGUUAGAAUUAGACGCAGGAUCUAGAAGAAUACCUUACUUUUUACUUUUGCUGGAAAAAUGGCGCAAUUCCACCAGAAGUUCAGAAUCUUUCUUGUGCGUGUUUUGAAACAAAUUAGCUGCUAUACUCAUUCUUGAAUUCAUGACCAGCCUUCUCAAGUCAGAAGCCUCCGCAUUAUCAAUCAUUCCACUUAGAACCAUUGAAUCAAUCCUAAGCAGCAACUCAGAGCUAAUAGAAAGUGUAUCCAUUUCUGGUCACAAGAUUAACAAACUGCAUUAGAAAUGUUAAAAACUUGAAUAAAAAGAUAUCCUGAGAACUCAUAAUGGUUCAUAACAAGAAUAAUCAAGCAAGAUAUCCGACAGAGGAGAAGACUCCAUUUGGUUGGUCGUUAAACGCACUCUGAAACAUUGAUUGAGAAAGUUACUCAAAUAAAGCACCAGAAUAUAUGUUCAUGUGGAAAGCAGUUUGAGUAUCAUCCCGCAUUUAAUUGAGCAUCUUUAUGAACAGCACCUACUUCAGACAUCUAACCCUUCUGUCAGUGGUCCUCUCUUGAAUAGGCCAUUCCUAAACCCAUCAAACUGAUCAGAGAUGGUCUACCCAAGCAUGACCAAUUCUCUAGCCGGGGCUCUGGGCUGUGUUUAGGCUGCUCAAAAUUAUUGUGGAUCUAGCGGGUCUAGAAGAGCAGAAUGAAACCAAACUUGCUAUGUUGCCUCAGUUUCUACGAGUAUAACAAUAAUAAUGAGCAUGUGAUGUAAUGACCAUUCAUGGAAUACAAGUGGAGAAUUAGUUUCAAAGUUUCAUAUGACUGCCAAACGAACGAGGUCAAAACAAGUUUUACGAGAGGAAACUUUUCAGAAUAGCAGAGAACCAAGUAUUAAUCCUACAAGGAUUGUAAAACAGAAAUUCAGGCUUUACAGCUAUAAUCACCUUUUUCGGUGUUCAACAGCAUUUUGGCCUCCAAUUGCUCUAUCCUAUCAAGCAGUGCCGUGUUUUCCCUCUUCAGUUCAUCCAGUUCUUCCAAUGCCGUGAGUCGUUGUUUAUUCAAAUACAAUAUAUCUGAAUUCCGAAGCGAAUCAGAAAAUUAAGAUAAGAAAGAAACCAAUAUGUGGUACGCAAUUAAGGAUAGCAAGAAAAAGAAUAGCAAUUGAGUACUCUGUUGUGCUUCUGUGAAGAGUUGCCAUAUAUCAUUCUGCUUCUCUUUUGGUUCAUGAUCCAUAGACUGCGGAAGAUCCUGCAAGGGAACGAGAAGCAGUCAUUUUUCUAGCUACACUUUAAAUCUUUCACCAACUCAUGCAAGAAACAAUUUCUUACCUUAUGGACAUCCAUGUCAUCAUGUCUUUCCACCCUAAAUUCCACAAUGAAACGCAGCAAGUCACGUAACUUAAAUAAGGAUGCAAAAUAGUAAACAAAAGAGAAAAGCUAAAACAGACCAAUAUUUUCAAAAAUAGAAAAAGAAGAGAAGGAGCUCCUCCAAAAUUACGUCAUUACGUCAUUUUCCCGGGGGGGGGAUCAACUUAGUGGCAGUGACUGUAUAAGAGCCCACCAAAAGCUGAACCUUAGGUGUUCUGGAAGCAAUCUCGAAGUAAAUUAAUUACUAUUACUUAGGCUGUACUCAAGUUAACAGAAGCCCCAACAACUAAUCACGCUCUCGCGAACUUGUAUAUGCAUACUGUAUAUCGAUGCUUAAUCCUCCAGAAUAUGUUAAUGUGACGUCCGCAUAUGCGCUUAUAUGAACGUUAUCAACAUGUAUGAUGAGUGAAUGAACGUACGUGUGUCUGUGUGUUUGUGAGAGAGAGAGAGAGUGAGAAUCUAUAUCAAGAAGGGAGUUUGACGAGAGAGUGGUAGUAGUAACAAGUACCCCAAGCAAGAGGGAAGCCGAGCACCAAGGGGCUUGCGCUUCGUCGCACAGAUUUUAGGCAAAGGAGGAAGCUUAGAUAGCGGAGCAUUUAACAGCAACUCCAUGGCAGAGCGCCAGACCGCUACUAUAUUUCAUUUAUUCCGACCCUGAGAGACGCAGCCAUGGGAGAUGGGACUACUGAUAUCACCGGAAGGUAGCUAAUUUGUUUGGUCGGGACGUGGACAUGUUGGUCACGUGAGUUUUGAUGACAUGGCAGGUCGCUCAUCACUUCAUAUCCCAGACUUUAUGGAUAACAUGGCUGCAUCGUGGAUCAUGGAUGUAAUAAAUGGAGCAACAAGUGCUCCUGCUUCCUCGAUGAAGAGAGAGAUAUAUCCGAUGUUAUGAGACACGCGUCGCUGCGCCGAAAGGGCCACUUUUAACAAAUUCAAUUACUCUCUUGAGAAUCCAACCAAAUCAAUGCCAAGAAGUUUGGUCUUCCCGUGAUUUGAUUCGUGCAGAAACUCGGAUGGAGAUGCUGCUGUAGGACUUCGGAAGCUUUUAACAACUAAAUUCCGCGCAUCUUGCCCAGUACAUUCCAACCAUUUUCCAGCUCCCUCACAACGUUCCCAAAAAAUAAAUAAAUAAAUUUAAGGGCAACAUAGCAGGGCAAAGAAGGACUUGCAAAGAACAAGUAAUUCUGAGGAUAAAUAUACACCUGAUCAAAUGAUUUGCUACACCAGGAAUAAGGGACCCAAAAAAGAAAAAAAGGGGAAAAAAACCUUGUAAGUCUAUCUUUUGACAAAAAUCAUUCCUAAUAACUAAUAAACAAUGGAGCCCCACAUCUAAACCACCACGUCGGGCUUACAGAUGAAAUAAAAAGACUAGUAGAGAGCAAUUUUUCU
rnacentral:lncRNA from 1 species